GCCCCCGUAGCUCAGGUGGAUAGAGCACCAGAUUCCUAAUCUGGGUGUCGUGCGUUCGAGUCGCGCCGGGGGCACCA
rnacentral:tRNA from 10 species